UACAGAGAGUGCAAGCGUUAUUCGGAUUCACUGGGCGGAAAGGGUGCGCAGGCGGCCAAGUGUGUGAGGCGUGAAAGCCCGGGGCUUAACCCCGGAAUUGCACCUCAAACUACAUGGCUAGAGCAUUGGAGAGGGUAGCGGAAUUCACGGUGUAGCAGUGAAAUGCGUAGAUAUCGUGAGGAACACCAGAGGCGAAGGCGGCUACCUGGACAAUUGCUGACGCUCAGGCACGAAAGCGUGGGGAGCAAAAGGG
rnacentral:rRNA from 1 species